AAAUUGACACCGUAACUUCGGGAGAAGGUGUGCCGCUGGCGGUUAGUGACUUCGCGUCACGAAGCUGUUGGUGGUCGCAGUGAAAUGGCGGUUGUGACUGUUUACUAAAAACACAGGACUCUGCGAAGUCGUAAGACGACGUAUAGGGUCUGAUGCCUGCCCGGUGCUGGAAGGUUAAGGGGAUAUGUCAGCGCAAGCGAAGCAUUGAACCGAAGCCCCAGUAAACGGCGGCCGUAACAAUAACGGUCCUAAGGUAGCGAAAUUCCUUGUCGGGUAAGUUCCGACCUGCACGAAGGCAUAACAACAUCCGCACUGUCUCGACCAGGGACUCAGCGAAAUUACAUUGGGGGUGAAGAUGCCCUCUACCCGCGGAAAGACGGAAAGACCCCAUGAACCUUUACUGCAACUUGGCAGUGAUUUUCGGGUUGUUCUGCGUAGGAUAGGUGGGAGGCUUUGAAGCCGGGCUUCCGGGUUCGGCAGAGCCAACGUUGAAAUACCACCCUGAAUAAUCUGGAAAUCUAACCUGCGCCCAUGAUCUGGGCGAGGGACACUGCCUGGUGGGCAGUUUGACUGGGGCGGUCGCCUCCUAAAUUGUAACGGAGGCGUGCGACGGUUCCCUCAGGCUGAUUGGAAACCAGCCGUAGAGUGCAAACGCAUAAGGGAGCUUUACUGCGAGACUGACAAGUCGACCAGUUGCGAAAGCAGGUGUUAGUGAUCCGGUGGUACCACAUGGAAGGGCCAUCGCUCAUCGGAUAAAAGGUACUCUGGGGAUAGCAGGCUGAUCGCGCCUGAGAGUUCACAUCGGCGGCGCGGUUUGGCACCUCGAUGUCGGCUCAUCGCAUCCUGGGGCUGGAGCAGGUCCCAAGGGUUUGGCUGUUCGCCAAUUAAAGCGGUACGCGAGCUGGGUUUAAAACGUCGUGAGACAGUUUGGUCCCUAUCUUCCGUGGGCGCAGGACACUUGAGAGGAGCUAUCCAUAGUACGAGAGGACCUGGAUGGACGAACCUCUGGUGCUCCGGUUGUCACGCCAGUGGCAUAGCCGGGUAGCCAUGUUCGGAACAGAUAACCGCUGAAGGCAUAUAAGCGGGAAGCUGGCCUCAAGACUAGGUGUCCCUGACGCAAGUCACUAAAGGCCCCUCGAAGACUACGAGGUUGAUAGGCUCGGUGUGGAAGCGCUGCGAGGCGCGGAGCUAACGAGUACUAAUAGGCCGUGAGGCUUGACCUA
rnacentral:rRNA from 1 species